CCUACGGGAGGCAGCAGUGGGGAAUAUUGCACAAUGGGGGAAACCCUGAUGCAGCGACGCCGCGUGAGUGAAGAAGUAUCUCGGUACGUAAAGCUCUAUCAGGAGGGAAGAAAAUGACGGUACCUGACCAAGACGCCCUGGCCAACUACGUGCCAGCAGCCGUGGUAAUACGGAGGGGGCAAGCGUAAUCCGGAUUUACUGGGUGUAAGGGGAGCGUAGACGGGAGCACAAGUCGGGAGUGAAAUCCUGGGGCUUAAGCCCGGAACUGCUUUUGAAACUGGGCGGCUGGAGUGCAGGUGGGGUAAGCGGAAUUCGUGGUGUAGCGGUGAAAUGCGUAGAUAUUACGAAGAACACCGAUGGCGAAGGCAGCUUACUAAACUGUGACUGACGUUGAGGCUCGAAAGCGUGGGUAGCAAACAGGAUUAGAUACCCCUGUAGUC
rnacentral:rRNA from 1 species